GCGUCUCUAUGAUAGAGCCGGCCUGGGAGGCUGCAACGGCGGUGGGGGCUGUGGUAAGGCGCAGUGAGAGGUCCAACUUUUUUACUGGACUGAGAGGUUUUGGCCGCGGAGGGUCGCGAUGUCAGAGAAAAAACAGCCGGUAGACUUGGGUCUGCUGGAGGAGGACGACGAGUUCGAGGAGUUCCCUGCAGAAGACUGGGCUGGUUUAGAUGAAGAUGAAGAUGCACAUGUCUGGGAGGAUAAUUGGGAUGAUGACAAUGUAGAGGAUGACUUCUCCAAUCAGUUACGUGUUUUACCACCAGCCCAUACUGUCCUCUACACCUGAGCAGAAGACAAAGAUGAUUCAUAUGAAUAAGCUCUGGCCUUAAUAUUAUUCAUGGACUUUAGAUCAGAAAAAUAAGGAAUAUAAAACAUAAGUUUACUAAUGGGAAAACAAAAUUUUAUUAGCAUUAUGUGGAUUCACAUCCAGUUUCUUUCUUAUAUAGAUUUCUUUUUGGGGACUAAAGUAAAGCUAUUUGGUAGUAUUUUAAAUUGAUGUUUAGGCUUAUUAGCUCAAUUAUUUAUUGUGUUAUUUCUAAAAAUCAUCUGUUUCUUUAAUUUAUCAUGAAGAAUGUCUAGUGAUGUUGUUCUUUUGUGUUUCUUUAUAGAGCUGAACUAGAGAAACAUGGUUAUAAGAUGGAGACAUCAUAGCAUCCAGAAGUG